AUUUUUUUCCCUAACCUGCAAUUGCCGAUUUCAACUCGCAAAAGCUCUUCUCUUCUUUGAUGUUUUUUUUUCUCUAAUGUUUUUCCUCCAUCAUUGGCUUUUUACCCCCGAACCCUAGCUUUAACUCUAACUCCCAGAAGUUUUUUUUCCCCUUUCUUUGAUGUUUUGUUGUUUCUAUUUAGAUUUCAGCAUCCUUCUUUUUGUGUUCAAAACCCUAAAUUGUGUUUUUUUUUUCAUCAUUGUUGUGCUUUUUGAUUCUUCUUCUUGGCUCCUUUUCUUGAGUUCGUUUGACAAUAGCAAAGUCUAAUUGGCAUAUGGAAGCAGUAGAUGGUGUGCUUAAGAAUUAUAUCUUUUUUUAAAAAAAAAAUCUGGAACGUUAAAUAACUCAAGAAGAAUUUUCUGUUGGCUUGCAUUGUUUCUGUUUGAGUUAGAAUUCCUUUUAGAUUCUUAGGAUGAGCGUAGGAAUUGGACAACUGUGAAAUGCACAACCUCUGCCUCAAUUAAGUAGAACACUAUUGACGUAUCUUGAACAGUUCUGAAACAAAAUUAUCUGCUGACACCAAUGACUGAAAAAUAACUAAAAACAGGACAAACCAAGAAAAAAAAGAAACUGAAUCUUUUGUGAAACAUGAAGUAUAUUCAUAUUUUAUUUACUUCCAAAUUUCUAAUAGAUUAUGUUGUUUCAUUCAAAUGAGCGGAAUUACUUAUCGUUAAGCUCUUGUGUUUCUUAUGACAGAUCUUGUGAAAGCUGGUGAUCGUUCAUUUGAAAUAGAAGCUGCAAACACAGGAGGAACCACUUGGAUUUGAAAACUCAUUGCAUCUCUUCCUAGAGUCUUGCUGAAAGAAAAAUGGUAAUCAAGGACUUAAGCAGUUGCUACUGCUCAAGCAACGAAAGCUGCAAAAAGUGGUGAGCAUAGCAGAGGUGCUCAGUGAUGCAACAUCCAGAGUGGAAAUGGAGGUGAAAAGUGAAGAUGCUGACAUUGGCAAAGAAUGACGAGUAGGGAUGACAAUAGGGCAAGGUUGUCUUUUCAGUUCUCAUUUGAGAGUUACCAAACAGAGAAUGAAGAUGUGUGUAAAUCAGUCCCUUUUUUUGAAAAGAGGUCGUUGUUCGACUUUGGCCUGUCAACUCCUUCACAGCGAUGAGCGCACACAAGGAUUCUUUACCGAAUUAAAAUUCUGAAGCAGGCAGAGGGAAGAGCUGCAUUUUGGUUCCAUAAACGAUUGCCGAAGCAAGGAUCUAGGAAAAGUGACCAUAGGAAGCACAACAGUGAACUGUUAGCUGGAAAUUGCUUGUCACGCCAUUGAGAUUUUGAAGGCAAAUUCCGAUUCUUCAUGAUUGCAUUUAUUUUAUUGUUAGUAACAAGAACCUCUUUGAACCUCUUUUUCUCAUGUUAAAGCUGUUGUAAGAUAAAGCUCAUUGCAUUGAACCUCAUAUAACAUUCAUUUAUUUCCUUUUGGUACAUAAAAUGUUAUGUGAGUUUAAUUUGUAUGUACAAUACAACUUGUUUCAACGAAGAUUGCAUGAUAA